UUCCAGACUCCUACGGGAGGCAGUAGUGAGGAAUAUUGGUCAAUGGCCGGAAGGCUGAACCAGCCAAGUCGCGUGAGGGAAUAAGGCCCUAUGGGUCGUAAACCUCUUUUGUCAGGGAGCAAAGGCGUCCACGAGUGGACGAAAGGAGAGUACCUGAAGAAAAAGCAUCGGCUAACUCCGUGCCAGCAGCCGCGGUAAUACGGAGGAUGCGAGCGUUAUCCGGAUUUAUUGGGUUUAAAGGGUGCGUAGGCGGACGCUUAAGUCAGCGGUAAAAUUGCGGGGCUCAACCUCGUCGAGCCGUUGAAACUGGGUGCCUUGAGUGGGCGAGAAGUACGCGGAAUGCGUGGUGUAGCGGUGAAAUGCAUAGAUAUCACGCAGAACUCCGAUUGCGAAGGCAGCGUACCGGCGCCCAACUGACGCUGAAGCACGAAGGCGUGGGUAUCGAACAGGAUUAGAUACCCCUGUA
rnacentral:rRNA from 1 species